UUGAGAUGAUGUAUAUUUGAGAUUAUUACACUGUAACUUCUUCUCGCUUCGCUUCCUUUUUUUUCCCUUGGUGGUGUUGAAUUUUCCAGGAGAAUUUUCAAUGGAGAAACAAACGUUAUGUUUCUAUUAGGCAAAAGAGAUGUUAUCCUUUGGGGAUGCAGAGCGUUAAUUCUGCUCAGACUAUUCAGCUGAAGUAGUUGAUACUAAUUGAUGAAUUGUGAUUAUUGUUUUGCCUACUUGACUCUUGUUGAGUAUCCAUUGUUAAUUUAGAAUAAUCCCAAUUGUCCUUUUAUAUAUGACUCUACUGAAUACAUCAUUGGUGAUUGCAGGCCCAGCAAUUGAAGACAACUAAAAUGCUUUAUCUUUAAGGAAGAGUUGGUGAAACUCAUUCCUGUUUUUUCAGUUCGACGGUCUUAAUUUAAGCGUAUAGAGCUCCAUCAAUAAAUAAAAAGUAUAGUGGAAAAUAUCCCAACCCGGUUUUGCCAUUGUUGUAAGUGCUAAAUACCAGUAGUUAAUGCUCAUGAAUGGGAGAUUUGACUUUGCAAAAUCAUCAUUCCAGCGGAUAACAGUAAUUACGGAGUACAAGAACAACCCCCCGUAUUAACAACUUUUAUAUGAGCUUCUGUGUUCUGAUAUUCAUUGCUUUCUGAAUAGAGGCUUUUAUUGUGUUGCCAGCAGUAAUGUCAAUUUGCUAAAGACUAUGAUUGUUAUAUAUUGUUAUAUAUGAGCUUUUGUGUUCUGAUAUUCAUUGCUUUCUGAUAUUCACGCAGGUAUUUUUCUUUUCUUUUUAUUUGGUUGGGAAGUUCUCUUAUUUCGGCAUUCAAUUGAUGAUUACUAUUAUUCUUUUCGUUGUCAGUUGGCUGAUCAAUGAAAUAGGGGUAGAGAGAAGGUUUAAUUGAUUUCUAAUCGUAGUUUUUUUAGUAGUCUAGCCAGCCAGAGAAGUGAAGAAGAGCUAGAAAAAUUUCAGAUGUUGAGUUUUUUUUGGCCUUUCUUGAUACCUUCGAAUCACUCUUUGUAGAUAUCUAUGUCGUGCUAGUCCUACACAUGAUGAAGAGGCUGCAGCAAAGGCAGCUGCAAUCAAUUCUGACAGUUCAACACUAAGAGAACUUAAUGAUCAAUCAACUAGUGUGUUGCACUCGUAUCAUGAUUCAGGUGCAAUGCCGAGGGAUGUUUUCAACACACUACCACCGUUUAGCUGUGGACUAUAGGAACAAUUC